rnacentral:tRNA from 1 species
CGGGGGCAUAGCUCAGCUGGGAGAGCACCUGCUUUGCAAGCAGGAGGUCAUCGGUUCGAUCCCGUUUGCCUCCA